rnacentral:lncRNA from 1 species
AUUCAUGAUCUCCACAUUAUUGGGUGGCCAAAAGCGAGAAGAAGGGCUUUGUGAUUUUCCAUGUUAUUUUACUCAGCGACUCUUCCCCUAGCACUCACCCUGUAGCAGCUACCUUGAAUGACAACAGAGAGCCAGUCCUGCGCAGGUGUGGAAAGUGUGCCAGGGAAAAGCCACUCUUUGUGAAGAGACUCACAGGCACAGAAACUAGAACCAGGUCCCCAAAGAGUUCAACCAAUGACGAGCAGAAAUUCUUCAGUUUGCAGAAUGACAGGUCACGGUUGGUGGAAUAAAAAGUUGUAAGUUGUGGACAAAGUACGUCUACUCAGAUGUGAAUCCCAAGGCCUUAAGCUGUCCUCAGGUUUCCUCAUUGGCUGGCGGUCUAUGCAGAUACUCCUAUGUUCCUGAUCUGGGAAACAGAAUUUCUAAUGGAGGUGUCACCUGGUGGUAAAAACAAAGAAGACAAUUAAAUUUUUUCG